CGGUUCAAACGCCUACUGGAUGUCUUAUCGUCUAUUGGCAGUUUAUCUGCCAAUCUAAGGUAUUGGCCAAUCCCGUUUAAAAACGCGGGGUUUAUUUACCCUAAAGCCGGAAGCCUGCUGUUCACGUGAUAGGACAGUAGUGUUAUCGUUGAUAGACAGUGACACAGCACUGGAUUUGACUCCCGGCAACUUCGAGCUAGGUUUUACAUUUACUUUUUUAUUUUACAGUUAUUACUAGCAUUUUAAACAGCCUGUAGCCUGAAUUUAUUAUUUCUCACAGUUCCACCACCAGAAGGUUUAUUAAACUUUUCUUUGCCACCGGGAAGCUAGCUAGCUGGGAACUCUGUAGUGACUAAGUAACUUUCUAGAAGGUUAGCCGCAUUGUCGUUGCGAAUAAAUCGUUUUGCGUUAUCAUGGACCAAACCGAUUCUUAUCCAGUGAAACUUUACGUUUAUGACCUGUCCAGAGGGAUGGCCCGUCAGCUGAGUGCUUCCAUGCUGGGGAGACAUAUUGAUGGGAUAUGGCACACGGGUGUUGUGGUCCACGGCAAAGAGCACUACUUUGGUGGAUCAACAGGCAUCACCAAUUGUCCACCUGGAGGCACCCUGUUGGGUCCGCCUGAUUCUGUAGUAGACAUGGGCUCCACUGAAGUGCCUGAAGACCUUUUUAAGGAGUAUUUAACUUCACUGGGAGAGUCCAAGUACAGAGGUGCCAAUUACAACUUGUUUGAGAACAACUGCAACACUUUCAGCAGUGAAGUGGCUCAAUUCCUGACAGGCAGAAAGAUCCCAUCGUACAUCACAGACCUUCCAUCUGACAUCCUCGCCACACCAUUUGGCCAGGCUCUCCGUCCCUUCCUGGAUUCCAUGGUCAUAAAUCCUGGAGGCAACAACCUGGCUGGGCAAUGAUAGACCGAGUCGUGGAUUUUAGAAGAUAACUGAUAACAUCCCUGCUUGUGGCUGUUUUCAUGGACAGCAGACCUUAUUGUGUCUUUCUCCAGAGAUCUUGAGGCAGAGAGAUGGCAUGUAAGGACUCCCAAGUUAAAAUCUGACAUUUAUGGAAUUAAAGGAAACCUUUUCUUUGAUAUUUCUCUAUAUGUGAAGUUUUUAUAGUGACUUUUUAAAAUAAAAUUAGUUCAGGAACUACCCAAAUAAGUGCCUAGAGGCAUUUAAAGAUCACUGGCAAGGCUUAUACUUCUUGCUCUAAGACUUGAUUACAAAAAAUAUUAAUGUUGAAAAUGGUAGUGUAAAGACUCUGAUUGUGUUACGUUGGUAACAAAUUGCUAGAUGUGUAUCAAAAUGCACAAAGUGCCAGGAUGUAGUUGUUUUGGCAGAAAUCCAAAUCUGAAUUUGAGUCCAAUGCCAAAAAUGAGGUAUUUGUUCCUUAGUCCAUUGUCACAUUUUGGUCAGUUUGUUUAUUUAACGUGCCAUGCUGUGUUCUGCCUUUUCUUCAGUGUGGGUGUGAAAUCGUUUCCACUUUUUCUGUCCGUCAUCCCAAUAAUGUAAAAACUACUAACUUGAAUUUCAUGGAACUUGGUGGAGAGGGAGAAAAAAAUGUAAUCUGGUGCCUUAAUUCUUUUCAUUUGUUUGUUUUUACUGCUUGUAUUCCUGUAGUUAUUAGAACAGGAUGCAUUUCAAUGCCAGCUCGGUUAAACCCGUUCUGCCGGCUCGUCUGGCUUUAAAAGUAUCUUUUGACCAAAGUUUUAUCUUCAGAAUAUCACCUCCAAGUUAUGCAUUUCGUCCAGGAACAUCAGAUGAACACAGGGAAUUAUAUUUUUUUUAUGCAUUUAUUUUUUUUAAAUUCAGGACCACUCAGCUUUACAGCUUUCAUUUGCUUUGUCGGGUUUAGAGUUUUUUCAGUUUAUAAAGACGCACUGUUUCAUAUACAUUAUGCAUAUUUGACUGUUUAUAUUUGCACAAUUAAACCAGGCACAGGAAAACUAUGCGUAUCAACCACUUACCUCCAUCACUGUUUUGGCAAACUGUGUUUAAUUGUUGUGUUUGGGACAUGUUUACUCUAAAUAUUGUUUAACCUGUUGCUCCUUCACCAUCCUGAUCCUACAUAAAGGGUAUGCGUAGAUCAUUAAUGCACAAGUCUCAAAAAGGCCAUCAUUUUGCUUCUAUUCAAAUAUAAAUAGGUCUUUAGUUUAUUCAGAUUGUGAAUCUAAAAUCACUGAAUUGAACCUGAAUUUGUUGAGGGGGAAAAAAUGUACUUAAAAAAAGAUGUUUGCUUACAAGCAGAGGGUCACACGUGGUUUAGACAAAUGUUUGUCUUAAAAUGAUUAAUAUAUAUGUUCGUCUGACAUCUAAACCAUCAUAGGUGGUAUCCUGGGCUGUUUAAACUGGGGUGAUCACUGAUGAUGAUCUAGACCUCACAAGGCAAAUGUUUAACUCUGCACUUUAUUAAAUGUGUGACAUUUUCAAAUACUAUCUUCCAUUAAAAUUGUUAUUCUCUGAA